AACAUGCCCCUUGGUUUGCCCCCAAAUAGAGGACAUGAGCAUGCUAUUAACCUGAAACAUGGCACGAAUCCAGUAAGUGUCAGGCCAUAUAGAUAUCCUCAGUCACAAAAAGAUGAAAUUGAACAGCUCAUUCAUGAUAUGUUAGCUGCUGGCAUCAUACAACCCUCCCAUAGUGCUUUCUCUAGUCCGGUCUUACUUGUGAAAAAGAAAGAUGGCUCUUGGAGAUUUUGUGUUGAUUAUAGAGCUCUUAACAAUGUGACCGUACCCGAUAAAUACCCAAUUCCCGUGAUUGAUGAAUUACUUGAUGAGUUGCAUGGGGCUUGCAUUUUCUCGAAAUUAGAUUUAAAAUCGGGGUAUCAUCAAAUUAAAAUGAAGCCUAGUGAUGUGCAUAAAACGGCUUUUAGAACUCAUGAGAGACACUAUGAGUUUUUAGUGAUGCCGUUUGGGCUCACUAAUGCACCCGCAACCUUUCAAGCUCUUAUGAAUGCGGUUUUUAAACCUUAUUUGAGGAAGUUUGUCCUGGUCUUUUUUGAUGACAUCUUAGUUUAUAGUGCAAAUAUGGAGCAACAUAUGCAUCAUUUGGAUAUUGUUCUGGGGUUGUUGGCAGCUAACCACUUGUUUGCCAAUUUAAAAAAAUGUGAAUUCGGCAAAGGCAAGGUAGCUUACUUGGGGCAUAUAAUAUCUGAAAAGGGAGUAGCCAUGGACCCCUCCAAGGUCCAAGCUAUGUUGGAGUGGCCUAUUCCUUCUACAUUGCGGGACCUCAGAGGCUUUUUGGGCCUCACAGGAUACUACCGAAGAUUUGUUCGAGGUUAUGCCUCCAUUGCACAGCCACUCACAGAUCAAUUAAAAAAAGACUCUUAUGGAUGGUCUCCUGCAGCAACACAGGCUUUUGACAAGUUGAAACAAGCUCUCACUAGUGCCCCUGUACUCCAGAUGCCAAAUUUCAACCUACCCUUCAUCAUUGAGGCUGACGCAUCUGGAUUUGGUUUAGGGGCUGUUUUGCUCCAACAGGGCCACCCUAUUGCUUAUUUCAGCAAGACAUUGGGAGAGAGAGCUCGAGCCAAGUGCAUUUAUGAAAAGGAGCUCAUGGCCGUAGUUUUGGCAGUACAAAAAUGGAAGCAUUUCUUACUGGGAAGGCACUUCACCAUACAUUCUGAUCAGCAAAGUCUCCGGCAUUUGGUUAACCAAAGGGAAAUUGGUCCUGCAUAUCAAAAAUGGGUAGGGAAAUUACUUGGAUUUGAUUUCGACAUCAAAUACAAGCCGGGCAGCCACAAUAAAGUUGCGGACGCCCUCUCUAGGAGGCAGCACUUAGAGAUAGAAUGCCACUCUCUCACUUCCUCUCAUUCACCCCACUGGGAAUUGCUCUCUCAAGCUAUCCACCAGGACCCGGAAUUACAGCAACUUAAGUCUGAAGUGGCAGCUGGCAGACCUCCUCUACCUGGGUUUACUGUGGAACACCAGUUGCUCAAGUAUAAGGGAAGGAUAGUCCUUCCUAGGAAUUCCUCAAUCACUGCGAUCCUAAUGGAGGAGUAUCACUCCUCACCUUUGGGGGGUCAUUCAGGCAUUUUUAAAACAUACCAGAGGCUAGCCGGUGAAUGGUACUGGAGGGGUAUGAAAAAAGAUGUGGCGACCUUUGUGCAGCACUGUCAAGUUUGUCAGCAAUACAAAACCUCCACAUUAAAGCCAGCGGGUCUCCUUCAACCUCUUCCCAUUCCUCAACAAAUUUGGGAGGAUAUAUCCAUGGAUUUCGUGGAGGGGCUACCCAAGUCUCAAGGGUGGGACACUAUCCUAGUUGUGGUGGAUAGAUUGUCCAAGUAUGGACAUUUCAUACUUCUCAAACACCCCUUUAAUGCCGCAUCCGUGGCUGCUGUUUUCAUUAGGGAGGUGGUUAAAUUACAUGGCUUCCCCACUACUAUAGUCUCGGACAGAGAUAAAGUUUUCAUGAGCCUUUUUUGGAAGGAACUCUUUAAACUACAAGGCACAUCCUUGCAUAGAAGCACUGCGUACCACCCGCAAUCUGAUGGCCAGACGGAAGUGGUUAACAAAUCCCUCGAAGCUUACCUCAGAUGCUUUUGUAAUGGCAAGCCUAAGAGUUGGGCCACUUGGUUACCAUGGGCUGAGUAUUGGUAUAAUACCUCCACUCAUGCCUCCACUCACUACACUCCUUACAAAGUGGUUUAUGGAAGGGACCCUCCCCCACUGAUCCGGUUUGAACAAGGCAGUACAGCUGUUUCAUCUUUGGAAGAUCAGCUGCUGGACAGAGACGCAAUCUUGGAUGAAUUAAAAUUUCAUCUCCUUAAAGCUCAGAAUAGUAUGAAGCAACAAGAAGACAAGAAGAGAAGAGCUGUCCAAUUUGAACCUGAUGAGCUGGUUUAUCUGAAGCUCCAGCCUUACAGACAUCACUCUUUGGCUAAGGCAAGAAAUGAGAAACUUGCCCCCAGGUUUUAUGGACCUUUUCCCGUGCUCAAGAGGAUUGGUCAGGUGGCCUAUCAACUUCUUCUGCCUCCAGGUGCCAAACUCCACCCAGUCUUUCAUGUCUCUCAGCUUAAAAAGGCUUUGGGCAAUGUGCCAGUUUCACCUACUCUUCCUACUCAACUCACUGCUGAUUUGGUCCUGCAUACUCAGCCAGAGGCUCUUUUGGAUGUCAGACAACCACCUCACCAGCCUGCAGCUACUGAGGUCCUUAUCAAGUGGGCUGACCUACCUACUUUUGAAGCUACUUGGGAGGAUGCUGGGUUGUUAACUGCUCGUUUCCCUGACUUCCACCUUGAGGACAAGGUGCUUCUUUGGGAGGGGGGUAUUGCUAGACGACCUCCUAUCAUUCAUACUUAUUCUAGAAGGAGAGGGAAACUCACUAAGGGCACAGGGGUCAUUUCCACUCACAACACAGCUGGCGUUGCUAGAGAGGAUUAGAAGGAUUAUUCUCUGAGGGAUGUUAUAACAGAUUCUGUUAGGCAAAGUAUGAGGUGGCAGGUGCCUUAGAUAUUUUGUAAUGCUGUGUAUAUAAAUAGGAGCUGAGCUCACAGCAGGGGUAUCCAGAAAUUACUAGAGGAAGUUAUAUGUAGAGGAGAGACCUUGCCUCUCGAAUGCAAGGGUUGUAAUUGAGUGAUUUCCUUAAUACAACCUAUCCUUGGGCUCAUAGUUUACUGUGUUCAUUGCUUAAAUAUUCAUACUUUGGGUCUUAGCACUGUCCUUUAGCGACCUUUUUGGUGAUAAAUUCGACAAACAAAAACUUUUGUAGGACAUAUUUUAAAAAGUGACUUGUUAAAGAGAUAUCAUGCCACUGUUACUGUUCUGCAUGCAUUUACGAAGAACCCAGAAACGAUUGCACGUGAGGCUGAUAUUGUGGUUGCUGCUGUUGGUAUGCCAAACUUAGUUCGUGGAAGCUGGCUCAAGCCAGGUGCUGUAG